CCUACGGGAGGCAGCAGUGGGGAAUAUUGCACAAGGGGGGAAACCCUGAUGCAGCGACGCCGCGUGAGUGAAGAAGUAAUUCGUUAUGUAAAGCUCUAUCAGCAGGGAAGAAAAUGACGGUACCUGAGUAAGAAGCCCCGGCGAACGACGUGCCAGCAGCCGCGGUAAUACGAAGGGGGCAAGCGUUAUCCGGAUUUACUGGGUGUAAAGGGAGCGUAGAAGGCAGUGCAAGUCUGGAGUGAAAGGCGGGGGCUCAACCCCCGGACUGCUCUGGAAACUGUCCGGCUGGAUUGCAGGAGAGGUAAGUGGCAUUCCUCGUGUAGCGGUGACAUGCGUCGCUAUUAGGCGGAACCCCAGUGGCGAAGGCGGCUUACUGGACUGUACCUGACGUUGAGGCUCGACAGCGUGGGGAGCAAACAGGAUUAGAUACCCUAGUAGUC
rnacentral:rRNA from 1 species